UACGAAGGGGGCUAGCGUUGCUCGGAAUCACUGGGCGUAAAGCGCACGUAGGCGGCUUGUCGCGUCGACUGUGAAAACCCGUGGCUCAACCAUGUGGUCUGCAGUCGAUACGGGCAGGCUAGAAUUCGGUAGGGGAGACUGGAAUUCCUGGUGUAGCGGUGAAAUGCGCAGAUAUCAGGAGGAACACCGGUGGCGAAGGCGGGUCUCUGGGCCGAUAUUGACGUGAGGAGCGAAAGCGUGGGGAGCGAACAGG
rnacentral:rRNA from 1 species